rnacentral:rRNA from 1 species
CAGAGGGUGCAAGCGUUGUUCGGAAUUAUUGGGCGUAAAGCGCGUGUAGGCGGCCUAGCAAGUCGGGUGUGAAAGCCCUCAGCUCAACUGAGGAAGUGCGCCCGAAACUGCUGGGCUUGAGUGCCGGAGAGGGUGGCGGAAUUCCCCAAGUAGAGGUGAAAUUCGUAGAUAUGGGGAGGAACACCGGUGGCGAAGGCGGCCACCUGGACGGCAACUGACGCUGAGACGCGAAAGCGUGGGGAGCAAACAGGAUUAGAUACCCUGGUAGUCCACGCCGUAAACGAUGAGAACUAGGUGUCGUGGGAGUUGACCCCUGCGGUGCCACAGCUAACGCAUUAAGUUCUCCGCCUGGGAAGUACGGUCGCAAGACUA